CUUGCUUGGGGUACUCGAGUGGCGAACGGGUGAGUAAUACGUGGGUAACCUGCCCUCUUCUUUGGGAUAAGCCCCGGAAACGGGGUCUAAUACCGGAUAUUCUGCUUCUGCCGCAUGGUGGGGGUUGGAAAGGUUUUUCGGUGGGGGAUGGGCCCGCGGCCUAUCAGCUUGUUGGUGGGGUGAUGGCCUACCAAGGCUUCGACGGGUAGCCGGCCUGAGAGGGUGACCGGCCACAUUGGGGCUGAGAUACGGCCCAGACUCCUACGGGAGGCAGCAGCC
rnacentral:rRNA from 1 species